CGGACGGGAAUCUGCGGGUAGCAAUAUUCGUGGAUUCUAGUGGCGAAAGGGUGCGUAACACGUAGCUCACCUACCUCACUGUGGGGGAUAGCUCGGCGAAAGCCGGAUUAAUACCGCAUGUGGUCGAGAGACUAAAGCUGGGGAUCGUAAGACCUGGCGCAAUGAGAUGGGGCUGCGGCCUAUCAGCUAGUUGGCGGGGUAAAAGCCCACCAAGGCAAUGACGGGUAGCUGGUCUGAGAGGACGACCAGCCACACUGGAACUGAGACACGGUCCAGACACCUACGGGUGGCAGCAGUCGAGGAUUUUUCUCAAUGGGGGAAACCCUGAAGGAGCGACGCCGCGUGAGGGAUGAAGGUCUUCGGAUUGUAAACCUCUGUCAUCUGGGAUCAAUGCUGUUCACCUAACACGUGAACAGUUGCUAGUACCAGAAGAGGAAGCAGUGGCUAACUCUGUGCCAGCAGCCGCGGUAAUACAGAGACUGCAAGCGUUGUUCGGAUUCAUUGGGCGUAAAGGGUCCGCAGGCGGUCAAGUAAGUCGGGUGUGAAAGCUCGUGGCCUAACCACGAAAUGUCAUUCGAAACUACUUGGCUCGAGGGCUGGAGAGGAGGCUAGAAUUGCUGGUGUAGCGGUGAAAUGCGUAGAGAUCAGCAAGAAUACCAGUGGCGAAGGCGGGUCUCUGGACAGUUCCUGACGCUCAUGGACG
rnacentral:rRNA from 1 species